rnacentral:rRNA from 1 species
GAAAAGAAACCAACAGGGAUUGCCCUAGUAACGGCGAGUGAAGCGGCAACAGCUCAAAUUUGAAAUCUGGCCUUCUUUGGGGGUCCGAGUUGUAAUUUGCAGAGGGUGCUUUGGUGUUGACAGCGGUCUAAGUUCCUUGGAACAGGACGUCACAGAGGGUGAGAAUCCCGUACGUGGUCGCUUGCCUCCGCCGUGUAAAGCCCCUUCGACGAGUCGAGUUGUUUGGGAAUGCAGCUCUAAAUGGGAGGUAAAUUUCUUCUAAAGCUAAAUACUGGCCAGAGACCGAUAGCGCACAAGUAGAGUGAUCGAAAGAUGAAAAGCACUUUGGAAAGAGAGUCAAACAGCACGUGAAAUUGUUGAAAGGGAAGCGCUUGCAGCCAGACUUGCCCGUAGUUGCUCACCCGGACUUUUGCCCGGGGCACUCUUCUGCGGGCAGGCCAGCAUCAGUUUGGGCGACCGGAUAACGGCCUCUGUCAUGUAUCUUCCUUCGGGAUGACCUUAUAGGGGAGGCGUAAUGCGGCCAGCCCGGACUGAGGUCCGCGCUUCGGCUAGGAUGCUGGCGUAAUGGCUGUAAGCGGCCCGUCUUGAAACACGGACCAAGGAGUCUAACAUCUAUGCGAGUGUUUGGGUGUCAAGCCCGGGCGCGUAAUGAAAGUGAACGGAGGUGGGAACCCUUUCGGGGGCGCACCAUCGACCGAUCCUGAUGUCUUCGGAUGGAUUUGAGUAAGAGCAUAGCUGUUGGGACCCGAAAGAUGGUGAACUAUGCUUGAAUAGGGUGAAGCCAGAGGAAACUCUGGUGGAGGCUCGCAGCGGUUCUGACGUGCAAAUCGAUCGUCAAAUUUGGGCAUAGGGGCGAAAGACUAAU